GGAGUUUGGGCCGUGUCUCAGUCCCAAUGUGGCCGGUCACCCUCUCAGGUCGGCUACUGAUCGUCGCCUUGGUAAGCCGUUACCUUACCAACUAGCUAAUCUGACGCGGGCCCAUCUCAUACCACCGGAGUUUUUCACACAGGGUCAUGCGACUCCGUGCGCUUAUGCGGUAUUAUCAGUCGUUUCCAACUGCUAUCCCCCAGUAUGAGGCAGG
rnacentral:rRNA from 1 species